ensembl:snRNA U6 U6 spliceosomal RNA
UUCAGCAGCACAUAUAUUAUACUAAAAGCGGAGGAUACAGAGGUUAGCAUGACCCCUGUGCAAGGAUGAUAUGCAAAUUCGUGAAGUAUUCCGUAUUUUU